GCGAGUGUGGUGAAAUUGGUAUACACAGGAUACUUAAAAUGUCCCGCCUUUGGCAUGUCGGUUCGAGUCCGAUCAUUCGCACCA
rnacentral:tRNA from 1 species